GUGCAGCAGUCGAGAAUAGUCUACAAUGGACGAAAGUCUGAUAGUGCGACGCCGUGUGUGCGAUUAAUUCCUUCGGGAUGUAAAGCACUUUUCUAUGAGAUAAAAGCUCUUUAGGUUAAUAGCUUAUUGAGACGGAUAUUAUUAUAGGAAUAAGCUCCGGCUAACUCCGUGCCAGCAGCCGCGGUAAUACGGAAGGAGCGAGCGUUGUCCGGAUUUACUAGGCGUAAAGGGCUAGUAGGCGACUAAUUAAGUUAUAUGUUAAAUCCCACGGCUCAACUGUGGUCCUGCAUGUAAUACUGGUUAGAUAGAGUACUGUAGAGGAAGGCAGAAUUCCUGGAGUAGCGGUGGAAUGCGCAGAUAUCAGGAAGAAUACCAAAAGCGAAGGCAGCCUUCUGGGCAGUUACUGACGCUGAAUAGCGAAGGUGUGGGUAGCGAACAGGAUUAGAUACCCC
rnacentral:rRNA from 1 species